rnacentral:rRNA from 1 species
AACGUAGGGUGCAAGCGUUGUCCGGAUUUAUUGGGCGUAAAGAGCUCGUAGGCGGCUUGUUGCGUCGACUGUGAAAACCCGCGGCUUAACCGCGGGCUUGCAGUUGAUACGGGCAGGCUAGAGUUCGGUAGGGGAGACUGGAAUUCCUGGUGUAGCGGUGAAAUGCGCAGAUAUCAGGAGGAACACCGGUGGCGAAGGCGGGUCUCUGGGCCGAUACUGACGCUGAGGAGCGAAAGCGUGGGGAGCGAACAGG